GCGACUUCGAGACUGAGGGGUGGUCGUCCAUCCCGGACGAGCCCCCAGAUGAAAGGACCCCCA
rnacentral:miRNA from 1 species